rfam:Dipodomys ordii contig_12939, whole genome shotgun sequence.
GGUGGCUCAGUGGUAGAGCGCUUGCCUCGCAUGCAUGAGGUCCUGGGUUCGAUUCCUCAGCACCA